rnacentral:rRNA from 1 species
UUAUGCGAUACUUGGUGUGAAUUGCAGAAUUCAGUGUAUCAUCGAAUCUUUGAACGCACCUUGCGCUCCUUGGUAUUCCGAGGAGCAUGCCUGUUUGAGUGUCAUUAAAUUCUCAACCUCACCCGUUUUCUGAAUGGACUGAGGCUUGGAGUGGGGGUUUGUGCAGGCUGCCUUCUUGUGCGGUCUGCUCCCCUGAAAUGCAUUAGCGAGUUCAUACUGAACUUCCGUCUAUUGGUGUGAUAAUUAUCUACGCCGUGGAUGAGGUUUAGACUUGCUUCUAACCGUCNGCAAGGACAAUACCUUGACAAUUUGACCUCAAAUCAGGUAGGACUCCCCGCUGAACUUAAGCAUAUCAAUAAGCGGAGGAA